AUACUUACCUGGCAGGGGAGAUACCAUGAUCACGAGUGGUUCUCCCAGGGCUCAGCACAGCCGGAUUGCAAUGGCUGAGCCUCGCCCUGGGAGAACCACCUUCGUGAUCAUGGUAUCUCCCCUGCCAGGUAAGUAUGAGUUGGGGAAGGCAAGACCGCCGGCGCUGC